UUCUUCGUUUGCCUGCAAACACAAUUAUGUUAAGUAAGGAUCACUACACAACAUUUAAUUACGAUUAAAAUCAAAUGAAGCUGGUGAAUUUCAGUAACUAAUUAGUUACAGCACUAGUAUUUAAAAAAGACUAAAAACGUAACUGUUUUUGAGACGUUUCGUAAUAAUUAGAAAUUGCAUGCUUACUAUAAAGUAAGC